rnacentral:rRNA from 1 species
AAGCGCCUAUGACCAGACUUGGGCCCGGUGAAUCAUCCAGCGUUCUCGCUGGUGCACUUUGCCGGGCACAGGCCAGCAUCAGUUUGGCGCGGGGGACAAAGGCUUCGGGAAUGUGGCUCCCCUCGGGGAGUGUUAUAGCCCGUUGCGCAAUACCCUGCGCCGGACUGAGGUACGCGCUCCGCAAGGAUGCUGGCGUAAUGGUCAUCAGCGA